rnacentral:rRNA from 1 species
GAUGAACGCUAGCGGGAGGCUUAACACAUGCAAGUCGAGGGGCAGCACGAGGUAGCAAUACUUUGGUGGCGACCGGCGCACGGGUGAGUAACGCGUAUGCAACCUACCCUGUACAGGGGGAUAACCCGGAGAAAUUCGGACUAAUACCCCAUAAAGAUAUUUAGAGGCAUCUUUGAAUAUUUAAAGUUCCGGCGGUACGGGAUGGGCAUGCGUAACAUUAGCUAGUUGGUAAGGUAACGGCUUACCAAGGCAACGAUGUUUAGGGGUCCUGAGAGGGUGAUUCCCCACACUGGUACUGAGACACGGACCAGACUCCUACGGGAGGCAGCAGUGAGGAAUAUUGGUCAAUGGGCGCAAGCCUGAACCAGCCAUCCCGCGUGAAGGAAGAAUGCGCUAUGCGUUGUAAACUUCUUUUCCAGGGGAAUAAAAUUUUGUACGUGUACGGAAUUGAAGGUACCCUGGGAAUAAGCAUCGGCUAACUCCGUGCCAGCAGCCGCCGUAACAC